UACGUAGGGUGCGAGCGUUGUCCGGAUUUAUUGGGCGUAAAGAGCUUGUAGGCGGCUCGUCACGUCGGGUGUGAAAACUUGCGGCUUAACCGCAAGCCUGCACCCGAUACGGGCGGGCUAGAGUUCGGCAGGGGGAGACUGGAAUUCCUGGUGUAGCGGUGGAAUGCGCAGAUAUCAGGAGGAACACCGGUGGCGAAGGCGGGUCUCUGGGCCGAUACUGACGCUGAGAAGCGAAAGCGUGGGGGAGCGAACAGG
rnacentral:rRNA from 1 species